AGCUACGUGGUGUAGUGUUUUGAACGCUGGACUAUGACUCUGGAAACCAGGGUUUGAAACCCUGCUUAGCCA